rnacentral:rRNA from 1 species
CCUACGGGCGGCAGCAGUGGGGAAUAUUGGACAAUGGGCGAAACCCUGAUCCAGCGAAGUCGCGUGAGUGAUGAAGUCUUUCCGUAUGUUAAGCUCUAUCAGCCGGGAAGCAAAUGACGGUACCUGACUAAGCAGCCCCGGCUACCUACGUGCAAGCAGCCGGGGGAAUACGUAGGGGGCAAGCGUUAUCCGGAUUUACUGGGUGUAAAGGGAGCGGAGAGGGGACAGCAGAGCUGAUGGUAAAGGUGGGGGCCCAACCCUGGUACUGCAGUGGAAACUGUUGAUCUUGAGUACAGGAGAGGUAAGCGGAAUUCGUAGUGUAGCGGUGAAAUGCAGAGAUAGUAGGAGGAACACCAGUGGCGAAGGCAGCGUACUGGACUGUAACUGACGUUGAGGCACGAAAGCGUGGGGAGCAAACAGGAUUAGAUACCCGAGUAGUC